ACUUCUUCUUCAUCUCCUUUUUUUUUUCCUCUUCUUCAUCAUUUCUUUUUUCUGUAGCUAUUACUUUAACAGUUUUAAUAGGAUUUACUUUUUUUAUUUUAUUCGAAUUAUUUGCAUUCUUUACAUAUUUUAAUGAACUGUCAUAUAAAUUAUCAAUUAUGUUAUAUGCAUUAUUGUUGUUAUUGUUAUAUGUAUAACCAUUAACACCACUACUACUACUAUUCGUUCCAAUUGCUGAUUCUCUUUUUGUGUUUAUAUAAUCAUGUGAUAAUGGGGUAGUUUCAUUUUUAUUAAUACUACCACUAUUAUCUUUAUGCAUAUCCGAAUCAAUACCAUGAAAACCUUUAGUCAUAUUUCUUCCACCUCGCAUAGGAUGUAAGGCUGACAAUGAACCAUCACGAUUAUUGUUGUUAUUAUUAUUAUUGUUGUUGUUGUUGUUGUUGUUGUUGUUGUUGUUGUUGUUGUUGUUGUUGUUGUUGCCAUAUUUUUUAACACUACUAUUAUUAAAUGGGGUUUUAUUUAAUACAAAGCCUUUUUUUGCAGAAUUGUUAUUAACUAUCGUAUUAUUGUUAUUACUUCUCACAUUAUCAUUAUUAUUAUUUUUCAUAGUGUCAGUGUUAUUACCACCGGUGUGGUGA
rnacentral:lncRNA from 1 species